rnacentral:tRNA from 1 species
GCCUAGAUAGCUUAGUUGGUAGUGCGUCUGCCUUGUAAGCGCUAGGCCGGCGGGUUCGAUUCCCGCCCGGGGCG